rnacentral:rRNA from 1 species
UGGGGAAUUUUGGACAAUGGGGGGAACCCUGAUCCAGCAACGCCGCGUGAAUGAAGAAGGCCUUCGGGUUGUAAAGUUCUUUUGUUAGCGAGCAAAGUUCAUGUGUUAAUACCAUAUGAAGCUGAGAGUAGCUAAAGAAUAAGCACCGGCUAACUACGUGCCAGCAGCCGCGGUAAUACGUAGGGUGCGAGCGUUAAUCGGAAUUACUGGGCGUAAAGGGUGCGUAGGCGGAUAAAUAAGUUAGAAGUUAAAUCCCCGAGCUUAACUUGGGUGUGCUUUUAAUACUGUAUAUCUAGAGUUUGUCAGAGGGGGGUGGAAUUCCAAGUGUAGCAGUGAAAUGCGUAGAGAUUUGGAGGAACACCGAUGGCGAAGGCAGCCCCCUGGGAUAGGACUGACGCUGAGGCACGAAAGCGUGGGUAGCAAACAGG